CCUACGGGAGGCAGCAGUGAGGAAUAUUGGUCAAUGGGCGUAAGCCUGAACCAGCCAAGCCGCGUGAGGGAUGAAGGUUCUAUGGAUCGUAAACCUCUUUUAUAAGGGAAUAAAGUGUGGGACGUGUCCUAUUUUGUAUGUACCUUAUGAAUAAGGAUCGGCUAACUACGUGCCAGCAGCCGCGGUAAUACGGAGGAUGCGAGCGUUAUCCGGAUUUAGUGGGUUUAAAGGGUGCGUAGGCGGGAGGCCAAGUCAGCGGGAAAAAUGCGGUGCUAAACGCCGUCGUGCCGUUGAAACUGGCGGUCUUGAGUGGGGGAGAGGUAUGCGGAAUGCGUGGUGUAGCGGUGAAAUGCAGAGAUAUCACGAAGAACUCCGAUGGCGAAGGCAGCAUACCGGCCCCCUACUGACGCUGAGGCACGAAAGCGUGGGUAUCAAACAGGAUUAGAUACCCUAGUAGUC
rnacentral:rRNA from 1 species